UACGUAGGGGGCAAGCGUUGUCCGGAUUUAUUGGGCGUAAAGAGCGUGUAGGCGGCUUUACAGGUCCGUUGUGAAAACUCGAGGCUCAACCUCGAGACGCCGGUGGAAACCGUAAAGCUAGAGUCCGGAAGAGGAGAGUGGAAUUCCUGGUGUAGCGGUGAAAUGCGCAGAUAUCAGGAAGAACACCCGUGGCGAAGGCGGCUCUCUGGAACGGUACUGACGCUGAGACGCGAAAGCGUGGGGAGCGAACAGG
rnacentral:rRNA from 1 species